rnacentral:rRNA from 1 species
UACGUAGGGUGCGAGCGUUAAUCGGAAUUACUGGGCGUAAAGCGUGCGCAGGCGGUUGUGUAAGACAGGUGUGAAAUCCCCGGGCUCAACCUGGGAACUGCCUUUGUGACUGCAAGGCUUGAGUGCGGCAGAGGGGGAUGGAAUUCCGCGUGUAGCAGUGAAAUGCGUAGAUAUGCGGAGGAACACCGAUGGCGAAGGCAAUCCCCUGGGCCUGCACUGACGCUCAUGCACGAAAGCGUGGGGAGCAAACAGG